UGUAAUAGUGUAAAAUAUACAAAUUUACUUUAAUUUGGUUAAAAUGUUGGUGUUUGUGUGUAGACUAGUUUUUCAUGCUGAGGGCAAACUGCAGUUUAUGUUUGUAGGGUUAAAAAAACUGCUGUUGAUUCAUUCUGAUGAUAAUACAUUACUUUAAACACAGACUGUCUGUGAAUUCAAACUAAGUCCUUAUGCUGCUAAUGCCAUUUGUAACUGUACUGAAUCUUGGACAACCAUUCUUCCAUAGAAUGAACAACAGCAAAAUUCUAAGGCAUUUUUUAACUAGGAAUAUUAGUUUUAGAAAUUACUUUCAGUUUUAGAAAUAACAGGUAUUUUUUGAACUGUUUACAGGGGGCGUGUGGUGAUUGAAGACGAGCCUUUUUGCAAAAGAAGGUGGCCAGCCCUCUUCUCUGAGCAUGAGAGUUUGACUGCAUCACCACUGUUCCAAUGAGAUCCAAAUUCAUGCAGCAGCUAGAUCAACACUCCUUGCAGCCAAUGAGUCUUCCGAAAGAAAGGAGGAGCUGCUGGAUGAAAAAGUAGGAAUAUCAUGGUAGACUUGGACAGCUUUUUCUAACAAAGGAUGAUGCCAUUGAAACUAAGAGCUUGUGUACUGUAAGCGCUAAUUGUUUAUCUCAAUGAAGACCCAGAAACCCUCAAAGGAGUACAUGGAUGUUGAGGACAACCAGGAGGCAAUGCAGCAGAUGAUCCUGCGAAUCUUCACCAUUAAGAAGGAAGGUGCAAAGACCACAGACAACCUUGAAGAUGUUGGAAUAAUCACUGAAGGUGUCUAAGUGCUGCAUGACUUUGGUAACAUUGCAAAUGAAGUCGGAAUUUUGUUUGGCAUCAUUUACUGACUGGACUUGAGCUACCCCACAGUACACAUUUGAGGCUUUACAAAAAAAUUGUGAUGGAACUAAAUGGAAACUGUCUCUCAACAAAGGCUCAAAGUACUAAAAAACUGUUUGAGUGAACAGUUCAAGCACGACAUUGCAAGAAAAGACUAAAAGACUGUUUUGUGUAACCCUGAAAUUGCACUGCAGAACCCUUAGACAAGGGUUUUAUCCUCAACCAUCAACAGAACUGGAAUGUUUCAGAUCCACGCA